rnacentral:rRNA from 1 species
GAUGAACGCUGGCGGCGUGCCUAAUACAUGCAAGUCGAGCGAACAGACGAGGAGCUUGCUCCUCUGAUGUUAGCGGCGGACGGGUGAGUAACACGUGGAUAACCUACCUAUAAGACUGGGAUAACUUCGGGAAACCGGAGCUAAUACCGGAUAACAUGUUGAACCGCAUGGUUCAACAGUGAAAGACGGUCUUGCUGUCACUUAUAGAUGGAUCCGCGCCGCAUUAGCUAGUUGGUAAGGUAACGGCUUACCAAGGCAACGAUGCGUAGCCGACCUGAGAGAGUGAUCGGCCACACUGGAACUGAGACACGGUCCAGACUCCUACGAGAGGCAGCAGUAGGGAAUCUUCCGCAAUGGGCGAAAGCCUGACGGAGCAACGCCGCGUGAGUGAAGAAGGUCUUCGGAGCGUAAAACUCUGUUAUUAGGGAAGAACAAAUGUGUAAGUAACUAUGCACGUCUUGACGGUACCUAAUCAGAAAGCCACGGCUAACUACGUG